rnacentral:rRNA from 1 species
CGUACCAAGGAGUUUAUCGUGUACGCAAGUCAUUGGGUGAAUAAAACCCAAAGGCGAAAUGAAAGUAAAGAGUUGAGUUUAUAAAAUAUAGAAUUUAUUCUUUAUUUUAUUUUUCUCUCUUGAGGGAAGAUGAAAAUUUAAUAUUUAAUAAAUUUCAUUUAUUUUAUAUUAAAAUUUUUCGCAUUCCCAGGGCGCUUGUUUCACGCUUUGCGUGUCGAUGCGCACCUAGAGCGUACACGCUGAUACCCGAAAGAUGGUGAACUAUGCCUGGCCAGGACGAAGCCAGGGGAAACCCUGGUGGAGGUCCGCAGCGAUUCUGACGUGCAAAUCGAUCGUCGGAGCUGGGUAUAGGGGCGAAAGACCAAUCGAACCAUCUAGUAGCUGGUUCCCUCUGAAGUUUCCCUCAGGAUAGCUUGCGCUCGGUUGAGUCUCAUCCGGUAGAGCGAAUGAUUAGAGGCAUUGGGGUCGAAACGACCUCAACCUAUUCUCAAACUCCAAAUAGAUGAGACCCCCGGCUUUCUUAAAAUUGAAGCCGUGGGAAUAGGAUCAGAGUGCCAAGUGGGCCAAUUUUGGU